AAAAAAAAAAAAAAAGAGAACAAACCCAUCAGAAAGGUUUGUACCAACGUGAGAGAGAGAGAGAGAGAGAGAGAGAUCAGCCGUGAGGAGAGAAAGAAGAAGGAAGAAAGGGAUUAAGGGUUUUGAAGCUUAAUUAGGUGACGGUCGGUGAAUCAAGGAGCACCGAAACCAUAGUUGUACUUUCUUUUGGAGUACGAGUUUUGCGGGCAUUGUAGAUAUCUACUGCUGAUCGUCGUGGGGUUGUACGCUCGCUUAGGGUAGCAUGUCGGGAAGGCUGGACUAGUUUGGCGAAAUUUUUGUAGAUAGUGAUGUAGUGCAGCCGAUGUUUAUAUUUGGUUCAUUGUAUAGUUUAAUGCUUUCUUAAGACUUCCGCUGUGUUUGUAAGAACGUUUAAGUUUUGCGUUAUCAAUAAAAUGGCUGUUGGUUAACUUAA